GAUAUAGAGACGAUAUAUCUCAGGAAGGCAGUCGCGUUGAAACGGCGCCCGAUGUUGGACGCGCGAACACAUCACGGACGGUUUCAGACGGGUUGGCUCGCAAGCUCGCGCGAUAAUUGGACGAGUUUGACGAGGAAACGUAAAUGGACCAGUACUCAGCGUAAGGGCGCGCGCACUCGGCGGCAGCUACGAGCUACGAAUGUUCGGGGUAGGCGGUUUCUCAAGGUUUCUCAUUAGUCUCUUAUUAAUUCGGAGACAACGCGCGAAACUGGUGUCGCGAAGUGGAAGCAUCCGGCGGAAAACGUGACGUCAGGUAGAAAACGCGAGGAAAACGUCUCGGGGGCAAAUUACUGUUUGCAUUAUGCAUGCACUGAUGGAAGCGCGAAGAGCAAAAGAGAAAAUAUCGGCGCGGCGUAAUGUGCAGCGACUGCUGCUGUCAAUUCGCAUCGCGCGAUGUUAACAUGCUUGUGGAGUUUCUCGAGCCACCGCGAGAGUUUCGUAAUCGCGCGUUAUAUUUGCCGUAGAGUAGUAUAGUUCCUUAAACUCCACUCGGGGGAGAUUGUUGAAACCGCGAGCAUUUUCAUGGCACAGCGAGAUAUCGACGAAAGAAGCCCGAGUUGAAGCAUCGUUCGUCGCUCGCUUGCUCCGGUUGAGUAGAAAAAGACGCUUCCCAUGUAUAUUUCUCGACAAGCGCAAUGUUUUUGCGCAAAUAUUUCGAGUAUUUCGCGUGUAGCUCAAAUGCUUUUGUUUACGCGCUCGCGUCGAGGUCAGCCUUGACUUUGGGCCGUAAUGAGCUUCACAGCGCAAAUAAUCUCGACCGACACAGUUUCAAAUCCGGAGGCGUCACGUGUGCGGAAAGGCGAUAGAUAAUUACGUCUCCACGAUCCGGCUCCACGGUUGCAGGCGAUCGAGAGCUUAUCACCGCGAUAUAAACAGUAUCACCUUCGCACGCAGCACGCACACAACGUUCUGUCGUUUCUCGCAACGAAUAUCUGAGCGAACGGCGAGCUUUCGCGGGUCAGUCGCUGUUUCCGUGUUUCAAGUAAAGUGCGCCGCUCGCUACGAGCCGUUCCGUCGAGUCAUCGCGCGCGAGUUUACCGUGAAAAUCUGAGCGGAUCAGUGCGAGUGCGGUGGAAGCUCUCCGCAUCUUUCGGCAGUGCGACGCAAGGCGAGAAACGCGCGAGUCGGAAAAAUCAAUCGAAUUAGAUAGAUAUACAACGCGCGGCGAUUCUCUCCUGCCGAGGAUGCCUCACUGCUCGAACGGCUCGCACUGAGGAUCGAAACGCGUACAGCUGAGAGAAGAAUACGCGAGGGACGAUAAUUCAAGAAGCCGCCAUGAAGUCACACAAGAACAGCGACCUCAGUCGGGACCAGGAUCUGAUGCUCGAAACGGAGUUCAAACGCUGCAAUCGCGGCAAUAUCGUGGAAGCAGGCUGGUGUCCCGAAACUUGGGACGAGAUCUUGUGCUGGAACUCGACGCCACCUGGGGAACUGGCCGUGCAGUCUUGCCCAUAUUAUAUCAUAGGGUUCGACAUCGAGGCGGACGCGUCGAAGCAAUGCAUGCCGAACGGCGAAUGGUACUUCAACACCGUCACCGGCAUCACGUGGAGCAACUACAGCCAGUGCUACCGUGAGCAGCUAGUCACCGUCUUGAUGAACAUAUCGGAUGUACAGGCGAACAACGUCACUCUCAUCCGGAAAUUCUUCCCGAUCGUGAAGACCAUCUCGAAACUCGGCUACACAAUCUCGCUGUUCACUCUCAUCAUCGCCUUUUGUAUCUUAGCCACCAUCAAGAAGUUGCGAUGCCCGCGGAACAUAUUGCACAUGCACCUGUUCGCCUCGUUCGUCAUGCGGGCGUUCAUGGCGCUACUGAAGGACAUGCUCUUCGUGUCGGGCAUCGGGCUGGCGGACGUGGUGAUCAAAAACGGUGACGGCUACUGGCUGGUCGAUGAGGCGGAGAGCAACUGGCACUGCAAGAUGUUCACCAGCCUGUGGCAGUACUUCAUCUUGGCCAAUUAUUCUUGGAUCCUGAUGGAGGGGAUAUACCUGCACAAUCUGGUGAUCCUGGCGCUCUUCACCGACGCUAACUCCAGCAUCGCUGCCUACAUCGCUUUCGGAUGGGGUCUGCCAGCUGUAUUUGUUCUGCCCUGGGUGGUCACGAGGAUUAUAUUCGAGGAUACGUAUUGUUGGACGACUAACGUGAAGCCUCUCUUGUUCCUCUUCAUACGCGUACCCACGAUGCUCUCUAUCUUGAUCAAUUUUGUGCUCUUCGUUAACAUCGUGUGGGUGCUCCUGUCGAAGCUGAAGUCCACCGUAUUGGAGGAAACGCAGAGAUACAAACGAUGGGCCAGAAGCACGUUGGUCCUGGUGCCGCUAUUCGGGGUACACUACACGGUCUUCCUGGGCAUGUCGUACAGCAUCGGUGUGAACGAGACCGUGGAGAUCGUAUGGCUCUUCUGCGACCAGCUGUUCGCGUCUUUCCAGGGCUUCUUCGUGGCGGUGUUGUACUGCUUCCUGAACGGCGAGGUGAGGGUCGAGGUGUCGAGGGCGCUUCGCGGCAGCAAGUGGCCGCGCCUACGCGGCCGAUGGGGCCCACGACCUUCGACACACUCCGUCAGCACGUGCAGCUGCAACGCCUCCGGGAAGACCGGUCGACACUCGAGACCACGGCCCAGGUGGUGGAGAGCGCGUUGGAAGUCACCCACGUGCCUGUUCCAGGAGCGGGCGAUCCGUCGGUCCACUCACUCGAUGAUGAUGGAACGAGAGGAGGUAGUUUAGCGAGCAGCAGAGGCUACCUAGAGAUCGCCGGUAACGGCCAGCCGACGGUGCUGCAGACGACGACGCAGAGUCAGCAGCACGGCCAGCAUACGUCGCCCUUGUGCAGCAAGUACACCGAUCAAUCGUUGCUCUCCUUCUGCUCGAACGUAUCGGAAGCGUCGGGGCCGAAUGUCGAGGGCAGGAUACGUGAGCAGCAUCGAUGGAGCGAUUCCGAGUGCUGUCAUCUCGCCUACGAGUUGCACAAUCUGCAGCACCACGGGCAUCCGUGAUUCUCCCGUGUGCGAUCAAAAAGUAGAAAAAAAUCGCAUGACGCUUGUCCGUGAAUAUGCACGAUGUGCGUCCCAUGUGUGCGCGCAUGCGUGUGUGUGUGUGUGUGUGUGUGUGUGUGUAUGUAUUGAAAGGAAAAGUACAACUAAAAGGUUUAAAGUUUGAAUUCGUGAAACUGACGAUACAAGAGGAAGGUAACGAGAAAAGGGACAAAACAAUAGUGGUUUUCGUUCCUCGCUUCUUUGUAUUGUUUGUUUUUCAUCUCGCUGAUUUCAAGACAGAGGUCAAAUCGCUUUUGAUCCUAUCUUCUUUUACGAAGGGAUGUAUCGUAUCACUGUCGUAGAUCUUAAAUCGUGCAAAUGUGUGUACUAUAUAAUACAGGCGAGGCGUCCGAUAUUUUAGAAUACUUUUAGGUAUUCGUUGAAGUGUGCUGGGAUGUCCGCCAAGUCCUCUCGAUAUACCUCGACCUUUUAGCGCUAUGUAUCUGUCAUCGACAUGCAAGCUCAGCAUGCGAAAAAGAAAAAAUAUCGAACGUCGGUCGUUAUUUAUUCAUAACGACCGCUAUGCACAUGCGACGUGACUAAAUGAAACAAAAAAGAACGGGUUAUUAAAACCAAAUAUAUUUUAAUAUGGCUGUAUAGGCUAUAUAAACGUUAAGUAUUUUUAAUAUGACUAUAUUUUCGAUUUAGCCACACAUCACAAAAGCCUGUAGUCAAUUAUCUCCUAUACACUUGUUAUUUUUUUCUAUCAAGAUAUACUAUUAUUGCGUGAAAUUUAAUAUAUUUAUAAU
rnacentral:misc_RNA from 1 species